UCACGUCACCUUCCGCUCGGCGAGAUCGUCGACACCGGGGCGGGCUCGGUGGGCGGGGCCUACUGCAGAGGCGGGGUCUACGAGCGCCCCGCCCCCCGCCCUCGCCAGCUGGCCGCGGGGGGAAGGCUUCCAUCUCCUGAGGAAAAGGCGACUGCGCAGCGCGCCGUCUCCUCACCCAGGUCGCCGCUUUGAGAGAAUUAAAAGAAUAAUGUAUAAAGUACUUAACAGUGACACAUAGGACUCAAUAAAUGGUAAUUAUGAAUAUUAUUGGCUGAUGUACCACCUUCUUAUCUUCUUGCUGAAGGAAAAUUACUUCGCAACUAAAAAAGGGAAGAAGGGAGCAAGGCCGGUGAUGAGAGAGAAGGAACACCACAACAUCAAAUUCUCCCCAUCAAGAAGAAUCCCUACUGAGGACUACUUGCUCCGGACCAGGGCAAAUGGAGAAUUUUAGGAUUGGCCUCUACCGCUGACAACUGCCACUUACUGUUGCCACUGUUUUUACUUUUACUUCUUGUACUAUCAUGGGCUUUGUAUGCCUGUGAGAAAGGGUAUGAGAAUGGGAGAAGAAAAAAGAGAUGCUGGGAAACAGAGAUAAAGAGAAACAACUAGAUAUUGAGACUGCUUUUGUCAUUACAAUGAUUCAUAUAUUGUAAGCUUCAAUGACAUUCAGUAAAAGUAACAUAAAUUAUACAAAAUAAUCUAUUUUAGAACCUAAAUAGAUCCUUUCAAAGAG